AGUGAACGCUGGCGGCAGGCCUAACACAUGCAAGUCGAGCGGCAGCGGGUCCUUCGGGCUGCCGGCGAGCGGCGGACGGGUGAGGAAUGCGUCGGAAUCUGCCUUUUUGUGGGGGAUAACGUAGGGAAACUUACGCUAAUACCGCAUACGACCUACGGGUGAAAGUGGGGGACCGCAAGGCCUCACGCAGAAAGAUGAGCCGACGUCGGAUUAGCUAGUUGGCGGGGUAAAGGCCCACCAAGGCGACGAUCCGUAGCUGGUCUGAGAGGAUGAUCAGCCACACUGGAACUGAGACACGGUCCAGACUCCUACGGGAGGCAGCAGUGGGGAAUAUUGGACAAUGGGCGCAAGCCUGAUCCAGCCAUGCCGCGUGUGUGAAGAAGGCCUUCGGGUUGUAAAGCACUUUUGUCCGGAAAGAAAUCCUGUCGGCUAAUACCCGGCGGGGAUGACGGUACCGGAAGAAUAAGCACCGGCUAACUUCGUG
rnacentral:rRNA from 1 species